rnacentral:rRNA from 1 species
UAUCUCUGUAGAGUCUGCAUAUCAAUAAGCGGAGGAAAAGAAACUAACUAGGAUUCCCUCAGUAACGGCGAGUGAAGCGGGAAGAGCUCAAAUUUGAAAUCUUCAAGGUUCUACCUUGGCGAAUUGUAGUUUAAAGAAGUGUUUUCUGUUGGAGUUUUGGUAAAAGUUCUUUGGAAUAGGACAUCAUAGAGGGUGAGAAUCCCGUAUUUGACCAUUAUUUCCAGCUUUGUGAUACACUUUCAAAGAGUCGGAUUGUUUGGGAAUGCAGUCCAAAAUGGGUGGUAAAUUUCAUCUAAAGCUAAAUAUUGGCGAGAGACCGAUAGCGAACAAGUACCGUGAGGGAAAGAUGAAAAGAACUUUGAAAAGAGAGUUAAACAGUACGUGAAAUUGUCAAAAGGGAAGCGUUUGACACCAGUGUUGUUUUCUCGAAAAUCAAUUAAAAAAGGCAGGAUUUUGUGUUGUAUUGACUUUAUCAGCUUUCUGCACUCUUUUCUUGUCUUUUUUAAUGCACUUUUCGUUUAACAAGUCAACAUCAAUUUCUUUUGUUGUAAAAGGGUCAUUGGAAGGUGGCUUUCUUUUCGGAGAAAGUGUUUAUAGCCUUUGGCCUCUGCAAUCGGAGAGAUUGAGGUCUGCAGCGUAGAUCCUUCGGGGUUAGAUACAUUUGUGCUAAGUUAUAGCCUUUCAUAGACAACUUGUUGACUAUGAUCAGUCAUGUAGCUUACUCGCUUAUGCUAUUUUACCUACGCUUAGGAUGUUGAAGAUGUAGCACAUCAU